rnacentral:lncRNA from 1 species
UGUAGCUGCCUUUGUCAUUUGCCAUACUGUGAUGAUGGAUUAGGGAACACUGUGACAAAGAACAGAGUCUCAGCCUUCUCUGCACCUGCUCACACAAUAAAAUACAGGAUUUUCUUCUGUUCUAGGAAAGGUACAGAAUUUAUCAUGAAGACAAGGAAAAGCAGCCUGCCUCUUCACAGAUAUUUUGGAAAUAGCUUAAUGACAGAUCUACAAGUACUGAAGACAUUAUCAACACAUUUAAAAUUCUCUGUGAUGUUGGUUACUUGAAAAUCUUUAUCUUGUGUGUGUGUGCGGGCGUUUCCUGAAAUUGUUAUACUUCUUGGUCUCUUGCUGAAGAAUUUGCCAACACAUGUUCCUUGUGGGUAGUUGGGAAUAUAAAUCCUAGAAAACUCAAUGGCAUUCACAGUUAUUGUCUCUAAAAAGCAAGUGAGCCAACAAAAUUUCACCCUUGAAAUCUGACCUAUUCAAUUCUCAUAUUCUCAAAGGCAAGGACUAUAUCUUAUUUUAAAUUUGUGUCAGGUGUCUACAUGGCAUAUAUUCCAAAGGUUGUCAUUAAAUACUCAACAAGUCUGUUCAUUACCCACUAUAUGUAAGAUGC